GACGAACGCUGGCGGCGUGCUUAACACAUGCAAGUCGAACGAUGAGGCUAGAGCUUGCUCUGGUGGAUUAGUGGCGAACGGGUGAGUAACACGUGAGUAACCUGCCCCGAACUCUGGGAUAACUGCUGGAAACGGUAGCUAAUACUGGAUACGACCAACGAAGGCAUCUUCUGUUGGUGGAAAGAAUUUCGGUUCGGGAUGGACUCGCGGCCUAUCAGCUUGUUGGUGAGGUAACGGCUCACCAAGGCGACGACGGGUAGCCGGCCUGAGAGGGUGAUCGGCCACACUGGGACUGGGACACGGCCCAGACUCCUACGGGAGGCAGCAGUGGGGAAUAUUGCACAAUGGGCGCAAGCCUGAUGCAGCAACGCCGCGUGAGGGACGACGGCCUACGGGUUGUAAACCUCUUUUAGUAGGGAAGAAGCGAAAGUGACGGUACCUGCAGAAAAAGCACCGGCUAACUACGUGCCAGCCGCCGCAGUAA
rnacentral:rRNA from 1 species